rnacentral:rRNA from 1 species
GUAGGGAAUAUUGCGCAAUGGGGGAAACCCUGACGCAGCGACGCCACGUGAGUGAUGAAGGCCUUCGGGUCGUAAAGCUCUGUUGCAGGGGAAUAAAAAAAUGAAGGUACCCUGUGAGGAAGGAUCGGCUAACUUCGUGCCAGCAGCCGCGGUAAGACGAGGGAUCCUAGCGUUGCUCGGAAUCAUUGGGCGUAAAGAGGGCGUAGGUGGCUUGGUAAGUCAGGUGUGAAAGCCCAGGGCUCAACCCUGGAAGUGCAUUUGCUACUGCUGAGCUUGAGUGUCGGAGAGGUUACCGGAAUACCUGGUGUAGUGGUGAAAUACGUAGAUAUCAGGUGGAACACCGGAGGCGAAGGCGGGUAACUGGACGAACACUGACACUGAGGCCCGAAAGCGUGGGGAUCAAACAGGAUUAGAAACCCCAGUAGUCC